AUAGCAAGCAGCAAUGUUACCCUUUCCUAGCAGCCACCUUAUUCCAGUAUUUAGCAACACUUUCACUUUAAGAAAUCCAAUUGAAGAAGCAAAAAAAAUAGAAAAAACGUUCCAGCAAUCUUUUCUUGGAUAUUCAUUUUGAAGGAGCUACUCUUGGCCAAAUUUUCAUUUUGAGAUUAACUUGUAAGAGAGAAUGGAUUCAUCCUAGUUGCCAGAGGAUCGGAAAUAAAGAUUAAUUUGUAAGAAAGGAUGGAUUCAUUGUCGUUGACAGAGGAUCGGAAGUAAAGGUAUGUAAAGGCUAUCUCUUUUCUUUAUUGGCAUGAUUCCAUAACCAAAAGAGUCGAUCGACCGUAUAGUAAAGAAGUCUAUCACACAAUCCUUACUUAUAGUACGUUUGUUAUACGUCGACAGAAAGAGUAGAAGAGUUAUGUUUACAAGUUAUGUAGUACCACCAUUAUAUAUUUCUAGUUAUGCUCGACUUAUUAGUCGGAGAGUUAUGCCCUGCUUAUUAUUCGAAGAGAUACGCCCGGCUUAUUAGUCAGAGAGCUAUGCCCGACUUAUUAGUCGGAGAGAUAUGCCCAGCUUGUUAGCUGGAGAGAUAUGCCCAGCUUAUUAGCUGGAGAAAUAUACCCGAUCUUAUGGUUGGAGAGAUACACUGAGCCCUAUAUGUGGCCGACUAGCUAGAUUACUAUAUUAUGUAAAGGAUAAGUCAGAGAAGGUAAGUAUACCUUCAGAGUAUUCUUGAUUUCAGUUGAUUUCGUUUAUUAGUUUUAGUUAUUCAGUUGCUUUACAUACUCGGUGCAUUAUUUCGUACUGACGUCCCUUUUGCCGGGGGCGCUG